UAAUCUUGAAUUUUUAAAGUUUUGAUAAAUGC
rnacentral:piRNA from 1 species